UCCUGGGGCUGUAGUAGGUCCCAAGGGUUGGGCUGUUCGCCCAUUAAAGUGGUACGCGAGCUGGGUUCAGAACGUCGUGGGACAGUUCGGUCCCUAUCCGUCGCAGGCGUAGGAAAUUUGAGAAGACCUGUCCUUAGUACGAGAGGACCGGGAUGGACGUACCUCUGGUGUACCAGUUGUUCUGCCAAGGGCAUGGCUGGGUAGCUAUGUACGGAAUGGAUAAGCGCUGAAAGCAUCUAAGCGCGAAGCCAACUUCAAGAUAAGAUUUCCCACCG
rnacentral:rRNA from 1 species